CCUCCCAAAACUAGGCGUUUUCCCCUGAAGUUUAGAGCACCGUUUCACAUCAAGGCGCCUGAUUUCAAACGGGCCAAUCAGCGCACUGCAUCAGGCUCCACCGCAGACAACGUCUGUACAGCUCCACACAAGUUUUGCUUUGGACUACGGCAGCACGCGAUCUUCAUUUUCGUGGACUUGUUUCUCAUUUUAACGUCUGCUACAGGUCGUCUUCAGUUACUACGGGACAGCAUCUUCUGCCAGCAUCUACCAGAGGUCAGUCCAGUGGUUGCUUGCAAGAAGUCAUUGAGAUGAUUUUGACGAGAAGGAAGAGCUUCUGUUCCACUGCGUUGAGAUGACAAGCCUUUCAGAAGAUGUUCAGAUGGAGAAAGUGCCACCAACGCCCUUCAUCAUUGUUUGCGGUUCCUCCUGCUUCGCUGCUGAAACAU